GACGAACGCUGGCGGCGUGCCUAACACAUGCAAGUCGAACGGAGUUGAGGAGCUUGCUCCUUAGCUUAGUGGCGGACGGGUGAGUAACGCGUGAGUAACCUGCCUCUGAGAGUGGAAUAACGUUCUGAAAAGAGCGCUAAUACCGCAUAACAUAUAACUGCCGCAUGACAGAUAUAUCAAAGAUUUUAUCGCUCGGAGAUGGACUCGCGUCCGAUUAGUUAGUUGGUGGGUAACGGCUCACCAAGACCGCGAUCGGUAGCCGGACUGAGAGGUUGAACGGCCACAUUGGGACUGAGACACGGCCCAG
rnacentral:rRNA from 1 species